UACGGAGGGGGCUAGCGUUGUUCGGAAUUACUGGGCGUAAAGCGCGCGUAGGCGGCUUUGUAAGUUAGAGGUGAAAGCCCGGAGCUCAACUCCGGAAUUGCCUUUAAGACUGCAUCGCUAGAAUCGUGGAGAGGUGAGUGGAAUUCCGAGUGUAGAGGUGAAAUUCGUAGAUAUUCGGAAGAACACCAGUGGCGAAGGCGACUCACUGGACACGUAUUGACGCUGAGGUGCGAAAGCGUGGGGAGCAAACAGG
rnacentral:rRNA from 1 species